rnacentral:rRNA from 1 species
CCUACGGGGGGCUGCAGUGGGGAAUAUUGGACAAUGGGCGAAAGCCUGAUCCAGCCAUGCCGCGUGUGUGAAGAAGGCCUUCGGGUUGUAAAGCACUUUCAGUGGGGAAGAAAGCCUUGGGGCUAAUACCCUCGAGGAAGGACAUCACCCACAGAAGAAGCACCGGCUAACUCCGUGCCAGCAGCCGCGGUAAUACGGAGGGUGCGAGCGUUAAUCGGAAUUACUGGGCGUAAAGCGCGCGUAGGCGGUCUGAUAAGCCGGUUGUGAAAGCCCUGGGCUCAACCUGGGAACGGCAUCCGGAACUGUCAGGCUAGAGUGCAGGAGAGGAAGGUAGAAUUCCCGGUGUAGCGGUGAAAUGCGUAGAGAUCGGGAGGAAUACCAGUGGCGAAGGCGGCCUUCUGGACUGACACUGACGCUGAGGUGCGAAAGCGUGGGUAGCAAACAGGAUUAGAUACCCUGUAGUC